rnacentral:rRNA from 1 species
GAUGAACGCUAGCGGCAGGCUUAACACAUGCAAGUCGAGGGGCAACACGGGUAGCAAUACCUGGUGGCGACCGGCGCAAGGGUGCGUAACGCGUGAGCAACAUGCCCUAUACAGGGGGAUAAUCCAGGGAAACUUGGUCUAAUAUCCCAUAGUAUUUAGAGGUGGCAUCACCACUAAAUUAAAGCUUCGGUGGUAUAGGAUUGGCUCGCGUGACAUUAGCUUGAUGGUGGGGUAACGGCUCACCAUGGCGAUGAUGUCUAGGGGUUCUGAGAGGAAGACCCCCCACACUGGGACUGAGACACGGCCCAGACUCCUACGGGACGGCAGCAGUGAGGAAUAUUGGACAAUGGGCGGAAGCCUGAACCAGCCAUCCCGCGUGAAGGAAGACAGCCUUACGGGUUGUAAACUUCUUUUCUGUUUGAAGAAUAAGCCCGUUGAGACGGGUGAUGCCGGUAGGACAGGAAUAAGCAUCGGCUAACUCCGUG